CAACGGGUCUGGGACAGGGCUUCAGAAUUUGCAUUUCUAGCAGGUUCUCAGGUGCUGGCUGCUGCUGGCAUUUGGAUCCCAGUUUGGGAACCCCUGUCGUUGUGGUAGCUCAAAAACACCUGGGGAAGGGGACACUUUGGGGAAAAUGCAGAUUUCCAGGCCGCCCCAUGAGAAACACCGAUUCAGUGGGUCUGUGCUCUGGGGUCCUAAAGGGUGAGACUCCCCUCUUUCAAGAAGCACUGUCUUCGACCACGGGCUCUCUCUGAGGUCAGAGCCAGAGAGGAAGCACAUUGCUGUUCCCUCCUUCGUAACCCGAGACCCUCCCCUCCUUUGGGUGGCACACAGAGGUAAACCAAGCUGGCCCAGGCUCCCCACGGAGUUAGAGAUUUGAGCCCCUGUGGACUUUCGAGAGUCUGUUCGUGUGACCACCCCUCGCUCCUCUCUCCUUCUUUGGGGAGCCAGCUGCCGGGGCUUGAUAUGAUGGGUUGUAGCUGGCGGGCCCAUCAGGGUCCCCUGGGGCGGAUCCAGGGGUUCGGGGUCCAGCCAGGGAGGCUGGCAGCCGCUUCUGGGAAGCAGUGUGGCCGGCAGGCCCUCAGUGGGUGGAGGUUAAGGCCGAGCCUGAGGCGGGCUCUGCAGAGAGCAGUCCGGCCUCUCCUUCCUCUGUGAGCCUCGGAUGCACAGAGCAGGGGCUGGGCGUGGUCUCUGCAAGGGGGAGCCUCCCCUCUCCCACCUGCCCUGGCGGUCACUCUGGGGUUAUCUCCGAAGCAAAAGCCACCCCCCUCCAAGACGACCUGCCCGUUGCUCACACAGCCAGAGAUGCACGUUUAAGAUCUGGGUUGCUCAGGCUGGACCCGAGCAGCAGAAGCUUUCAGCGGCCGAGAAAGGCCGCCGGCAGCUCGCCUCUGUGCCGAUGCCCGUCCUCUAGAAAGGAUGUCACGAAGAAUCGUGGAGCCCGGGGCAGAGAGUUCUACUUGGGCUCAGAAGACGGGUCUGAGGUCCGACUCUGGCCUAGGCUGCCAGCAUCACUGUUGAGUGCUUAGGGGCAGUAGUGAUGGUGACGAGGACCGCUAGGGGCCUGUGACGAUGGAUGAA
rnacentral:lncRNA from 1 species